UUAAACGUGGGGCGGGAUGCUUUACCAUGCAGUCGAACGGCAGCACGGGUGCUUGCACCUGGUGGCGAGUGGCGAACGGGUGAGUAAUAUAUCGGAACGUAUCCGGAAGUGGGGGAUAGCUCGGCGAAAGCCGGAUUAAUACCGCAUAUGCCCUGAGGGGGAAAGGGGGGGAUCCGCAAGGACCUCUCGCUCUCGGAGUGGCCGAUAUCAGAUUAGCUAGUUGGUGGGGUAAAGGCCUACCAAGGCGACGAUCUGUAGCGGGUCUGAGAGGAUGAUCCGCCACACUGGGACUGAGACACGGCCCAGACUCCUACGGGAGGCAGCAGUGGGGAAUUUUGGACAAUGGGCGAAAGCCUGAUCCACCAUGCCGCGUGAGUGAAGAAGGCCUUCGGGUUGUAAAGCUCUUUCAGAUGGGAAGAAACGGACACGGCUAAUAACUGUGUCUAAUGACGGUACUGUCAGAAGAGCACCGGCUAACUACGUGCCACAGCCCGGUAAUACGUAGGGUGCGAGCGUUAUCGGAAUUACUGGGCCGUAAGCGUGCGCAGGCGGUUUUGUAAGACAGGUGUGAAAUCCCCGGGGCUUAGCCGGGGA
rnacentral:rRNA from 1 species